GGCGCUAUGGUCAAGCGGUUAAGACACUGGUCUUUCUAACCAGAAUCCCGAGUUCGAAUCUCGGUAGCGUCA
rnacentral:tRNA from 3 species